GGACAACCUACCCUUGGGUCCGGCAUAAUCCUGGGAAACUGGGAAUAAUUCCGGAUAGAUCAUGGAUGCUGGAAUGCACCGUGGUCGAAAGCUUUUGUGCCUAAGGAUGGGUCUGCGGUCUAUCAGGUUGUAGUGGGUGUAACGUACCUACUAGCCUACGACGGGUACGGGUUGUGAGAGCAAGAGCCCGGAGAUGGAUUCUGAGACACGAAUCCAGGCCCUACGGGGUGCAGCAGGCGCGAAAACUUUACAAUGCGGGAAACCGUGAUAAGGGGAUCUCGAGUGCCAGCAUAUAAUGUUGGCUGUCCAGAUGCCUAAAAAGCAUCUGUUAGCAAGGGCCGGGCAAGACCGGUGCCAGCCGCCGCGGUAACACCGGCGGCCCGAGUGGUAACCGCUAUUAUUGGGUCUAAAGGGUCUGUAGCCGGCCAGGUAAGUCCCUUGGGAAAUCUGGCAGCUCAACUGUCAGGCUGCUAGGGGAUACUGUUUGGCUUGGGACCGGGAGAGGUGAGAGGUACCUUGGGGGUAGGGGUGAAAUCUUGUGAUCCUCGAGGGACCACCAGUGGCGAAGGCGUCUCACCAGAACGGGUCCGACGGUAAGGGACGAAAGCUAGGGGCACGAACCGGAUUAGAUACCCGGGUAGUCCCAGCCGUAAACGAUGCUCGCUAGGUGUCUGGGAUGGUGCGACCGUUUCAGGUGCCGCAGGGAAGCCGUGAAGCGAGCCACCUGGGAAGUACGGCCGCAAGGCUGAAACUUAA
rnacentral:rRNA from 1 species